rnacentral:rRNA from 1 species
UACGUAGGGUGCGAGCGUUAAUCGGAUUUACUGGGCGUAAAGCGUGCGCAGGCGGCCCGUUAAGACAGGUGUGAAAUCCCUGGGCUCAACCUAGGAACUGCGAUUGAGACUGGCGGGCUUGAGUACGGUAGAGGGGGGUGGAAUUCCCGGUGUAGCGGUGAAAUGCGUAGAGAUCAGGAGGAACACCGAUGGCGAAGGCAGCCCACUGGGUCUGUACUGACGCUCAGGCACGAAAGCGUGGGGAGCAAACAGG